AGCAGCCGCGGUAAUUCCAGCUCCAAUAGCGUAUAUUAAAGUUGCUGCAGUUAAAAGCUCGUGGUUGAAUUUCGGGACUAAUAUGUCGGUCGUGCCUCGGUACGUACUGGUUUAUUGGUUUCUCCUUUCUGAAGAACCAUGAUGUCAUUUAUUUGGUGUCGUGGGGAAUCAGGACUGUUACUUUGAAAAAUUAGAGUGUUUAAAGCAGGCUCACGCUUGAAUACAUUAGCAUGGAAUAAUGAAAUAGGACGUUUGAUUCUAUUUUGUUGGUUUCUAGGAUCGACGUAAUGAUUAAUAGGGAUAGUUGGGGGCAUUAGUAUUCAAUUGUCAGAGGUGAAAUUCUUGGAUUUAUUGAAGACUAACUACUGCGAAAGCAUUUGCCAAGGAUGUUUUCAUUAAUCAAGAACGAAAGUUAGGGAUCGAAGACGAUCAGAUACCGUCGUAGUCUUAACCAUAAACUAUGCCGACUAGGGAUCGGAUGAUGUUAAUUUUUUAAUGUACUCAUUCGGCGCCUUACGGG
rnacentral:misc_RNA from 1 species